rnacentral:rRNA from 1 species
UACGUAGGGGGCUAGCGUUAUCCGGAAUUACUGGGCGUAAAGGGUGCGUAGGUGGUUUCUUAAGUCAGAGGUGAAAGGCUACGGCUCAACCGUAGUAAGCCUUUGAAACUGGGAAACUUGAGUGCAGGAGAGGAGAGUGGAAUUCCUAGUGUAGCGGUGAAACGCGUAGAUAUUAGGAGGAACACCAGUUGCGAAGGCGGCUCUCUGGACUGUAACUGACACUGAGGCACGAAAGCGUGGGGAGCAAACAGGAUUAGAUACCCCCGUAGUCCCUGAGCGGGCUGG